rnacentral:rRNA from 1 species
UCGUGGCUACUAUGCCACCUGGUGGAUAGCUCGGCUCGAGCGCCGAUGAAGGACGUGCCAAGCUGCGAAAAGCUCAGGGGAGCUGCACGGAAGCGAAGAACCUGAGAUCUCCUAAUGGGAAUCCCUCGACAAUUGCCUUGCGCAAUGGGGAACGCUCCGGAUUGAAACAUCUUAGUAGGAGCAGGAAGAGAAAACGAAUGUGAUGUCGUUAGUAACGGCGAGUGAACACGACGUAGUCCAAACCGAAGCCUUCGGGCAAUGUGGUGUAUGGACAGACCGGAAUCGACAGCCAUGACGCGGGAAGUCUUCAUGGAACGGAGCGCGAUACAGGGUGACAGCCCCGUACCGUGUGCUGGCUGUCGUGGGUCUGAUCCAGAGUAGCGGGGGUUGGAAAUCUCUCGUGAACGUGACAGGCAUCGACUGUCAAGACUAAAUACGACUCGAGACCGAUAGUGCACAAGUAGUGUGAACGAACGCUGAAAAGCACCCCGAGAAGGGAGGUGCAAUAGGGCUUGAAAUCAGGUGGUGAUGGAGCGACGGGGCACGAAAGGCUCUGUGGUGAACGAUCGAGGGGCGACCCUCCAGUAGGACCCGCAGAGAGCCGGUGUUCCGUCGUGCGUUUUGAAAAACGAGCCAGGGAGUGUACCUGUUCGGCGAGCCUAACUGGUGCACCCAGGAAGGCGUAGGGAAACCAAUAUGGCCGCAGCAUUGCCAGGGCCACCGUGUUCAAGCGCGGGGAGUCGAACGGGUACGACCCGAAACCGAGUGAUCUACGCGUGGACAGGGCGAAGCGUGGCGAAAGCUACGUGGAGGCCCGUUAGGGGUGGUGUCCUACAAUACCCUCCCGUGAUCUAUGUGUAGGGGUGAAAGGCCCAUCGAACUCGGAAACAGCUGGUUCCAACCGAAAAAUGUCGAAGCAUUACCUCUGCUGAGGUAGUACGUGGGGUAGAGCGACCGAUUGGAGGCCCCGACCCCGAGAGGAGUCGGACCUCCUGUCAAACUCCGAACUCACGUACGCCGUCGAAGCAGGGAGUCCGCUAUGCGGGGUAAGCUUGUGUAGCGUGAGGGAGACAACCCAGAACCGGGUUAAGGUCCCAAAGUGCGGAUUAAGUGCGAUUGAAGGUGGUCUCGAGCCCCAGACAGCCGGGAGGUGAGCUUAGAAGCAGCUACCCUCUAAGAAUAGCGUAACAGCUUACCGGCCGAGGUUCGAGGCGCCGAAAAUGAUCGGGGCUCAAAUCCGCCACCGAGACCCGGUGACACCGGUCAAACGGUGUUUCCGUAGGUUGGCAGUCCGGUCGGGCAGAAGCACGGGCGAGAGGUCGUGUGGACCGACCGGUCACGAAAAUCCUGGCCGCAGUAGCAGCGAUAGUCGGGUUAGAAUCCUGACGACCGAACGAGUAAGGGUUCCUCGGCAAUGUUCGUCAACCGAGGGUUAGUCGAUCCUAAGUCCCACCGUAAUUCGAAUGGGACAAAAUGGGAAGCUGGUUAAUAUUCCAGCACCACUUUACAGUGAACGCUGACGCCUGGGGGUCAACCGGACCACGCUUUCGCGUGGUCGAACUGUCCAACUUCGUGGAAGCCGUAACGGCACGAAGCGAAAGAACGGCAGGAUAGCGCAAGCCGGUUCAACCUCGGGCCCGUGAAAAGGCAAGUAAAGUGAUCGUACCGAGAACCGACACAGGUGCUCGUGGCGGCGAAAGCCAAGGUCUGUCGGGAAUAACCGACGUUAGGGAAUUCGGCAAUUUAGUCCCGUAAGUUCGCGAUAAGGGAUGCCUGCCCAGGAAAUGGGCAGGUCGCAGUGACUCGGGCGCUCCGACUGUCUAGUAACAACACAGGUGACUGCAAAUCCGAAAGGACUCGUACAGUCACUGAAUCCUGCCCAGUGCGGGUAUCUGAACACCUGGUACAACAGGACGAAGGACCCGUCAACGGCGGGGGUAACUAUGACCCUCUUAAGGUAGCGUAGUACCUUGCCGCUUCAGUAGCGGCUUGCAUGAAUGGAUCAACGA